rnacentral:rRNA from 1 species
UACGUAGGGCGCAAGCGUUGUCCGGAAUUAUUGGGCGUAAAGAGCUCGUAGGCGGUCUGUCGCGUCUGCCGUGAAAUCCCGAGGCUUAACCUCGGGCCUGCAGUGGGUACGGGCAGACUAGAGUGCGGUAGGGGAGACUGGAAUUCCUGGUGUAGCGGUGAAAUGCGCAGAUAUCAGGAGGAACACCGGUGGCGAAGGCGGGUCUCUGGGCCGUAACUGACGCUGAGGAGCGAAAGCAUGGGGAGCGAACAGG